AGUGAACGCUGGUGGUAGGCCUAACACAUGCAAGUCGAACGGCAGCACAGAGGAGCUUGCUCCUUAGGUGGCGAGUGGCGGACGGGUGAGGAAUACAUCGGAAUCUACUCUGUCGUGGGGGAUAACGUAGGGAAACUUACGCUAAUACCGCAUACGACCUACGGGUGAAAGCAGGGGAUCUUCGGACCUUGCGCGAUUGAAUGAGCCGAUGUCGGAUUAGCUAGUUGGCGGGGUAAAGGCCCACCAAGGCGACGAUCCGUAGCUGGUCUGAGAGGAUGAUCAGCCACACUGGAACUGAGACACGGUCCAGACUCCUACGGGAGGCAGCAGUGGGGAAUAUUGGACAAUGGGCGCAAGCCUGAUCCAGCCAUACCGCGUGGGUGAAGAAGGCCUUCGGGUUGUAAAGCCCUUUUGUUGGGAAAGAAAUCCAUCUGGUUAAUACCCGGGUGGGAUGACGGUACCCAAAGAAUAAGCACCGGCUAACUUCGUGCCAGCAGCCGCGGUAA
rnacentral:rRNA from 1 species